rnacentral:rRNA from 1 species
CAGUAGCCACGGUAAUACGGAGGGAGCUAGCGUUGUUCGGAAUUACUGGGCGUAAAGCGCGCGUAGGCGGUUACUCAAGUCAGAGGUGAAAGCCCGGGGCUCAACCCCGGAACUGCCUUUGAAACUAGGUGACUAGAAUCUUGGAGAGGUCAGUGGAAUUCCGAGUGUAGAGGUGAAAUUCGUAGAUAUUCGGAAGAACACCAGUGGCGAAGGCGACUGACUGGACAAGUAUUGACGCUGAGGUGCGAAAGCGUGGGGAGCAAACAGGAUUAGAUACCCGCGUAGUCCCUGUCUCUUAUAU